UACGUAGGGACCAAGCGUUGUUCGGAUUUACUGGGCGUAAAGGGCGCGUAGGCGGCGUGGUAAGUCACUUGUGAAUCUCUGAGCUUAACUCAGAACGGUCAAGUGAUACUGCUGUGCUAGAGUGCGGAAGGGGCAAUCGGAAUUCUUGGUGUAGCGGUGAAAUGCGUAGAUAUCAAGAGGAACACCUGAGGUGAAGACGGGUUGCUGGGCCGACACUGACGCUGAUGCGCGAAAGCCAGGGGAGCAAACGGG
rnacentral:rRNA from 1 species